AUUGAACGCUGGCGGCAGGCCUAACACAUGCAAGUCGAACGAGUGGCGGACGGGUGAGUAAGGUCUGGGAAACUGCCUGAUGGAGGGGGAUAACUACUGGAAACGGUAGCUAAUACCGCAUACCAUCAGAUGUGCCCAGAUGGGAUUAGCUAGUUGGUGGGGUAACGGCUCACCAAGGCGACGAUCCCUAGCUGGUCUGAGAGGAUGACCAGCCACCCUGGACCUGAGCCACGGUCCACACUCCUACGGUAGGCCGCAUUGGGGAAUAUUGCACAAUGGGCUCAAGCCUGAUGCAGCCAUGCCGCGUGUAUGCAGAGGGCCUUCGGGUUGUAAAGUACUUUCAGCGGGGAGGCGUUACCCGCAGAAGAAGCACCGGCUAACUCCGUGCCAGCAGCCGCGGUAAUUC
rnacentral:rRNA from 1 species